UCUUGGUCAUUUAGAGGAAGUAAAAGUCGUAACAAGGUUUCCGUAGGUGAACCUGCGGAAGGAUCAUUACAAAAUGUCUGGGAAGUCCAUUUGGACCCCCAAGCAAAACACAUUCAUGUGUACUCUCCCAUGUUGCUUCCCCAGACCAGUGGCCACUGCUGCCAGCCCAUCCCUUAAUGGGUCUCCUGGGUUGAGGUGUCUGGGGAAGGGCCUAAUAUUAAACUUUUGAACCAACCUAUUGUCUGAGAAGGCCAUAUGCCGUAAUAUAUAAACUUGUUAAAACUUUCAACAACGGAUCUCUUGGCUCUCGCAUCGAUGAAGAACGCAGCGAAAUGCGAUAAGUAAUGUGAAUUGCAGAAUUCAGUGAAUCAUCGAAUCUUUGAACGCACAUUGCGCCCUUUGGCAUUCCUUAGGGCAUGCCUGUUCGAGCGUCACUAAAAACCCCCUCACACAUAAUGUGGUAUUGGUAGAAGUGGAUAGUACUAACACUACUUUCUCUCACUCUACUGAAAUGAAUAGGCCAGAGAAGUAGACCAUGGUAAUAGACUCCAGGAGUGUUUUAAAAUGCUAAACUAGUCUUAUCCAAGUCAUGUUCUGAGCUACUGGACCCCCCCAUUUAGUCCAAACCAAAGAGGUUGACCUCGGAUCAGGUAGGGAUACCCGCUGAACUUAAGCAUAUCAAUAAGCGGAGGAA
rnacentral:rRNA from 1 species